CAUCUACUCCCUCCGUUCCGAAUUACGUCUUGGAUUUGUCUAGAUAGAGAUGUAUCUAGACUCAUUUUAGUGCUAGAUACCUCCGUAUCUAGACAAAUCUAAGACAAGUAAUUCGGAACGGAGGGAGUAACUG
rfam:Triticum aestivum genome assembly, contig: Triticum_aestivum_CS42_TGACv1_scaffold_374612_5AL